CCUCCUAGGUGGUAUCAAUUCUUGCGGGGCCAAUCCUUAGCGCUUCUAUCCCUUUUUAAAUUUGCCCCCUAGUGGAUGUCAAAAUAAGUUCACGGAUUCAUCAAGGUGCACAGAAACGUGAUCCUCUGUCAAAGAUGAUCCCGGAGCACCCUUCCCGUUUGCAAUUUGACCAUCAGAUAAUGAAAUUGUGAUUAAAAUAAAGGAUUUUAUGAAAGACCAGUUUUUACAGUCAGUUCAUAAAACAACUGAUGAUGAAUCUAUGAUGUUAGCCAUGAGCAUAGAAGAUGACAACAAUCCAUUUGCUUGUUUGGCAGGAGAAUCCCAAGACCCCUACGAGGAUGAAGGUAAUACACCUAUUGAACCCACUUUGGGUGAUUUCUGGGAUAGUAUGACUAAAAUCAUUGCAUGCUAGCUAUCCUCCAGGAAAGGAAAAGAAAAGAAUCAAUGAAGCAAUAAUACAGCCAAACCAACUUUCAGUGGCCAACCACUCUAAUCAACUUUCGGUCAAUCAACCACCUCAAUUAUGGGUACACUCAAUUAUCGAAUGAAAAAACAGACAUAUGUGACGAUGGGGCCCUCAGCGCACCCGACAUAUCUUUAUUUCAUAUGAAUUUGAGUGUAAUUUCAUUUGUAUUUGUGUGUGAGUCCUCUAUAUAAAGGACGCAUUUGUAAGAGUAAAGUCAAGUUUUGGAUUACCCUCUCUCUCUCAAAUCCUCUGAGUUGCUCUCUGCUUUCCUCCUCCUCCCUUUGUAAUAUUGGCCUUGGCCUUUUAAAUAAAAGGGGAAUCCCAAGACCCCUACGAGGAUAAAGGUAAUACACCUGUUGAACCCACUUUGGGUGAUUUCUAGGACAGUACGACUGAAAUCA